GAUGAAGAACGUAGCGAAAUGCGAUAAGUAAUGUGAAUUGCAGAUUUCAGUGAAUCAUCGAAUCUUUGAACGCACCUUGCGCCUUGUGGUAUUCCACAAGGCAUGCCCGUUUGAGUAUCAUUAAAUCAUCAACUCUAAAACCUUUGUGGUUUUUUUAGAGCUUGGUCUUGAGGGUUUUGCAGGCUUUUUUUUUUUCGAGUCUGCUCCCUUUAAAUGCAUUAGCGAGACUUCCCUAUGCUGAACCGUCUCUUUGACGUGAUAAUUAUCUGCGUCGAAUUUUGGUUCUCGUUGGGCUUGCUUCUAAUCGUCUGUUAAAGACAAAACGGAUUUGGGUGCAUAUAUGCGCCUUUUUCCAAAACCUUUUUUGAUCUCAAAUCGGGUAGGACUACCCGCUGAACUUAAGCAUAUCAAUAAGCGGGA
rnacentral:misc_RNA from 1 species